GCGACGUUGCUUUUUGAUC
rnacentral:sRNA from 1 species